rnacentral:rRNA from 1 species
CAGCCGCCGCGGUAAUACCGGCGGCCCGAGUGGCGGUCACUAUUAUUGGGCUUAAAGCGUCCGUAGCCGGGUUGGGAAGUCCUCCGGGAAAUCUGGCCGCUUAACGGUCAGAAUGCCGGAGGAUACUCCCAGCCUAGGGAGCGGGGGAGGCCGAGGGGAUUCCCGGAGUAGGGGUGAAAUCCUAUAAUCCCGGGAGGACCACCUGUGGCGAAGGCGCUCGGCGGGAACGCGUCCGACGGUGAGGGACGAAGGCCAGGGGAGCAAACCGGAUUAGAUACCCGGGUAGUCCUGGCUGUAAACGAUGCGGACUUUGUGUCGGACAAGCUAUGAGCUUGUCCGGUGCCGGAGGGAAACCGUUAAGUCCGCCGCCUGGGGAGUACGGCCGCAAGGCUGAAACUUAAAGGAAUUGGCGGG